CUAUGUGAAUAUGGUUACCGUAUAAUUCAUCCCUUUUUGACCCCUGUGUUUUAGGAUGACUCAGGGUUAAACUGUCAACCCUGAUGAUAUCAUCCGAAUCGUGCUCAACUCAAUUAGUCCUGUGACUCCUCACUAGGACUACUCUGGUCAAGGUUUUGCUAAAUUAAAACACGACUGUACAUAGCUCCUAAACUGGAGUGGUCAAUCCCAUCUUGACACACGCACCGAUAAGUCAAGUACUUGACUACACCCAGCAACCUUCCGUCACUGAAUUAAAAAUUCAGGUAGUCCAGUGCCUAAGUGCAGUGAGUUGCUUGCAAGUCACCGUGGCGGUCUCAGGUC
rnacentral:lncRNA from 1 species